rnacentral:tRNA from 1 species
GAGGAUAUAGCUCAGUGGAAGAGUGCAUGCCUAGCAUGCAUGAGGUCCUGGCUUCAAUCCCCAGUACCUCU